rnacentral:rRNA from 1 species
UACAGAGGGUGCAAGCGUUAAUCGGAAUUACUGGGCGUAAAGCGUGCGUAGACGGUUACAUAAGUCGGGUGUGAAAGCCCCGGGCUCAACCUGGGAAUUGCAUUCGAGACUGCGUAGCUAGGGUGCGGAAGAGGGAAGCGGAAUUUCCGGUGUAGCGGUGAAAUGCGUAGAUAUUCGGAAGAACACCAGUGGCGAAGGCGACUCACUGGACACAUAUUGACGCUGAGGCGCGAAAGCGUGGGGAGCUAACAGG